rnacentral:tRNA from 1 species
GCGGGUGUAGCUUAAUGGUAAAGCCCCAGCCUUCCAAGCUGGCUACGUGGGUUCGAUUCCCAUCACCCGCUCCA